rnacentral:rRNA from 1 species
GACGAACGCUGGCGGCGUGCCUAAUACAUGCAAGUCGAACGCUUCUUUCCUCCCGAGUGCUUGCACUCAAUUGGGAAGAGGAGUGGCGGACGGGUGAGUAACACGUGGGUAACCUACCCAUCAGAGGGGGAUAACACUUGGAAACAGGUGCUAAUACCGCAUAACAGUUUAUGCCGCAUGGCAUAAGAGUGAAAGGCGCUUUCGGGUGUCGCUGAUGGAUGGACCCGCGGUGCAUUAGCUAGUUGGUGAGGUAACGGCUCACCAAGGCCACGAUGCAUAGCCGACCUGAGAGGGUGAUCGGCCACACUGGGACUGAGACACGGCCCAGACUCCUACGGGAGGCAGCAGUAGGGAAUCUUCGGCAAUGGACGAAAGUCUGACCGAGCAACGCCGCGUGAGUGAAGAAGGUUUUCGGAUCGUAAAACUCUGUUGUUAGAGAAGAACAAGGACGUUAGUAACUGAACGUCCCCUGACGGUAUCUAACCAGAAAGCCACGGCUAACUACGUG